rnacentral:rRNA from 1 species
GACGUAGGGCGCGAGCGUUGUCCGGAUUUAUUGGGCGUAAAGAGCUCGUAGGCGGCUUGUCGCGUCGACUGUGAAAACCCGCGGCUCAACCGCGGGCUUGCAGUCGAUACGGGCAGGCUAGAGUUUGGUAGGGGAGACUGGAAUUCCUGGUGUAGCGGUGAAAUGCGCAGAUAUCAGGAGGAACACCAAUUGCGAAGGCAGCUCGCUGGGACGUGACUGACGCUGAGACGCGAAAGCGUGGGGAGCAAACAGG